AAGUUAAGAUGGUGGAAAGCUUACCUGAAAUGUCGGGAUUUGAGGAAGAGGAAAUGCAAUCGUUUUUCCGAUGUUUGCUUCCAGGCAUGGCAAUAUGAUAAUAAUUAAUGUGAUGUUUAGUGAAGUAGUGGAGAUCCUCUUCGGAAUACUCUUCUUGUCUUAAUGAUAUAAUGGUACGGAUGUGUAAGGAUUCCAGGAAAUUGAAAUUAGAAGCACGUGGACAUGCAGAACGAUAAAUAAUUCCAGGAUAAACGACCCCAAAAUUAUCUGGUACAAGCGGUGAAUUGGAGAAUGUCGAGGCAUCGUUGGAAGUGUCAACUACCUUGAUACCAUCUUUAUGGGCAUUCAACUCUAAGCAACAAACUGGUUUUGCCUGUUCUUCCGAAUUCACAGAAUGACAAUCGUUUAAACAACUGUCAUGACUCGACACCUCGGGUAUAGACAUAGAAAUUUGGUCCCUAUCCGAAGUAAUUGAUAUCAACUUCUUUUCAAGUUGGAAUGGAAAAACAAUGGCCAUCAAUCAACUACCCUCCCAAGCACAUUCGAAAAAUAAAGAAACCACUUAAAAUGUUUCUCUAAUUAUGAACGAUUGAUGGUGCCACAACCUCAAUUUGACUACUUAAGAAACUUCUAAACGAUAGCGGUACCAGGACGACAAGCGUUAAGACCUGAACAGUAAAUUGGAAAUAAAGUACUAUACAAAAAUACUGAUUUGGCAAAUUUUGCCAAAUGUAUUACUUUUCUGAGGAUAUUGUAGAUUCUUGGUGAGGUAAGGUAUUUAGCAAAUUAACCGGAGCCGAUGAAGAUGCACAAGUAUACGGAAAUUUACGGCAUAUUUAUGUAAGCUAGAGAAGAGAGGGACGGUACACAGAAGCCAGAAAUCUUUCACUGAAUACUCUUAUAAAAUGCAUUUUCACCUUCUUUUAUUUGCGCGAG